rnacentral:rRNA from 1 species
CCCUUAGAUGUUCUGGGCUGCACGCGCGCUACACUGAUGCGCUCAACGAGUUUAUGACCUUGCCCGGAAGGGUUGGGUAAUCUUCUUAAAACGCAUCGUGAUGGGGAUAGAUUAUUGCAAUUAUUAAUCUUCAACGAGGAAUGCCUAGUAGGCGCAAGUCAUCAGCUUGCGUCGAUUACGUCCCUGCCCUUUGUACACACCGCCCGUCGCUCCUACCGAUUGGGUGUGCUGGUGAAAUGUUCGGAUCGGCCGUUUGUCGCGGUUUCCGCGGCUCGUGGCUGAGAAGUUCAUUAAACCCUCCCACCUAGAGGAAGGAGAAGUCGUAACA